CCACAGGCCACAGGCCGCAGGCCCCUGCUUCAGACAAAACCAUUUCUCUGAACAUGGAGGCUUUGGGCUCCUCUGGUCACAUGCAGGUGACCCCAGGACAGGUGGAAAUAAUGAUGGCUUUGCCAGAGGAGGAGCAAAAACUAAAGAAGAAUGUAUACUGGCUCAUGGUCCCUGUGGCACCUUCAGCCACCACCAGAGCGUGACCCAUGCGGCACUGUGCCUCCAAGAACGUCUCUUCAGCAGUUCCCCUCACACGCCCUCCCACUCAAUCUCAGGCCCUCCCAGAUGCCCACUCAUUACCUUGCAUUCCAUAAAUCAUUUACUGCCUCCAAAAUAUUUCUUAGGUGAAUUUCUAACUUUUCAAAACAUUUUUAUGUACUUGGUUAAAUAAAGAACUUUGUUUCUUUCCAGACUGAUGCCCCAGGGUAUUUUUUCUG